CAAGGCUUAAAGGUCCGAAACAUUUCAGACCAUAUAACUCCCUUAACCUGGCUUUUCGUCUGUAGAGACCUUCCAAGUUCCAAAAAAUGGAGCGAGAAAAAGCCCUAACGCUUAAAGCUGUGGCAGAGGAAAAGUACAAGCAAUCGAAACUCAAGUCCGCGCUAAAAUACGCUAGGAAGGCGCUGCGCCUCUCUCCUGACCUCGACGGUGUCUCCGAGAUGAUCACCGCCUUCAAGAUCCUCAGAGUGGGCGGGAAGCGCUCCGGCGCCGGCGACUCUCCGGACUGGUACAAGAUCCUCCAGGUCGAGCCCUUCUCUCAUAUCAACUCUAUCAAGAAGCAGUACAAGAAGCUUGCCCUUGUUUUGCACCCCGACAAGAACCCCUUUGUUGCCUCCGAGGAGGCCUUCAAACUCAUUGGCGAAGCCUUUCGAUGCCUCUCUGAUAAGAUUCGCCGGAAGGAGUAUGACCUUAAGCUUCGCAUCGCGAUGCAGUCCGCUGCCGCCGGAGAUGGCGGUGGUGGUGCGACGGAGACGUUUUGGACGGCGUGUUCGACGUGCAGGUUGUUGCAUCAGUUCGAGAGGAAGUACAUUGGGCAGAAUUUAAUGUGCCCUAGCUGUAAGAAGAGCUUCUUGGCUUUGGAGGUGGAGAACCAAAACAACGAGGUUUUGGCGAGUAAGGAGAGCGGGAGCAGGGUUGGGAGGUUGAGAAAUGUGCGUUCUGUUCGGAAAAUGAUGAGCAGUGAUGUUGAAACGACCGCUGGUAAAUCUAAAAACGCGGAUUUGAAUACAGAAAAUGUUCGGAAGCCAAGAACUGUGGGUUCAAAGAGGAAAAUGAGCAGUGUUAAUGAGGUUUUGGAGAGGUCGAAGGUAAGGAGAGAAAUGACUUUGGCGGAAAUGCAAAUGGAAGCCAAACGAAAGGCGCAGGAGGAGAAGAAGAAGGAGAAGUUAAAGGAGGAACAAGAGAAAGAGAAGAAAAAGAGGAAUGAGGUGAAAGAGAAAGAGAAAGAGAAAGAGAAGGAGGUGCAGGACAAAGUGAAAGAGAGCCGCAGCAGGACCAAAAGUGGUGGGGGUUUAGAAAUUCAGAAACGCAGGGCUUCAAAGGGUGACGGUUUAGAACUUGAGAGGCGAGGGGCGUGGAAGAGUGGGGAUUUUGAAAUAAUGACAGUAGAAGAUUCGGAUUUUUAUGAUUUUGAUAAAGAUAGAGUGGAGAGGAGUUUCAAGAAAGGGCAAGUCUGGGCAAUUUAUGAUGAUGAUGAUGGAAUGCCAAGGCAUUAUGGUUUAAUUGAUGAAGUUGUGUCAGUAAAUCCUUUUCAGAUGAAGAUGAGUUGGUUGGAUCUUCAGGACAAUGGAGAUGAGGGGUUGAUUUUUUGGGAGAAAUUGGGGUUUCAUGUAUCUUGUGGGAGGUUUAAGGUUGCUAAGAAGACUCUUAUAAAUUCUGUGAAUUUCUUUUCUCAUGUUGUGGAUUGUGAAAGGGCAGCCCGGGAAGUUUAUAGAAUUUAUCCGAAAAAGGGGUCUGUGUGGGCACUUUAUAAUCAAGAGGCUUUGGGUACAGAAGAAAGAAACUCGGGUAGCAACAAACGAUGCUAUGACAUAGUUGUGUUUUUAACGAGUUACAGUGAGAUGUAUGGCUUAAGCAUGGCAUAUCUUGAGAAGGUUGAGGGGUUUAAGACGGUAUUUAAGAGACAGGAGAUUGGGUGUCGUGCUAUUAGAUGGCUUGAGAAGGAUGAUAUUCGGAUGUUUUCGCAUCAGAUUCCUGCGAGGAAGCUUUGUGAGGAGGAAUCCUUAGAUCCUUCAAAAGACUAUUGGGAACUUGAUCCUGCUUCGCUACCUUCGGAUUUGCUUACUAUUGGAUGGCAGAGCAAGCAACUUGGGAAGAGACUACCGAUGCCAUGAUGCAGUUGAGUUUCUAACAAGUUAUAGUGGGAUGCAUGAAUGGUUUAAGCAUGACAUAUCUUGAGAAGUUUGAGGGGUUUAAGAGACAGGAGAUUGGGUGUUGUGCUAUUAGAUGGAUUGAGGAAGAUGAUGUUUUGAUGUUUCUCACAUCAGAUUCCUGCGAGGAAGCUUUGUGGGGAGGGAUCCUUGGACCCUUCACAAGACUAUUGGGAACUCGAUCCUGCUUUGCCUUCUUCGGAUUUGCUUACUAUUGGAUGGUAGAGAAAUUGCCAUUUUGGCUCAUAAGAUUCCUUGUUGAAGACCAAUGAGGACUGAAUUUUUAGAGCAAAUGUUAUAAUCUGAAGAUUGAAGAGGUUAGGGAUAUUUUUCCCACCUGUUGGAGCUUUUGAAAUUGAGAUGUGAUGCUGUGGUGGUCCUUUUAUUUUUGGAGGCAUGAUGGAUUUUCGAUAUCACUAGUUUCUGUGGGUGGGGUUGUUACUAGGGACCAUGGUCUGUUAGACUAAUAGGAGUCUUGGGCUGCCAAGCACAAAUGUACAGGUUCCAGAAGCAGGAGCAGUCACUUCAUUCAGAAAUGCCUGUUAGGACUCUACCCACCUCACCCUUCUCAAGACUCUGCUUGAUGAGACCAACACCAGGUUGAAGGAUUGAGAGGUUUGGAGCAAAUAUUUUGAAGCAAAAAUUGAAGAGAUAAGGCUUGCUUUUCUUGCUGGAGUUCACAAACUGAGGGUGGAGAGGAUGAUGAAAUCAAGCUGCUCUUCAAAAUGAGUUAUAAAUUUAGCUAAGCAAGGAAGGAGCUGUAGAAUAGCAUUGCUGGUAGAGCACAUUGAUGAUCAAGCUUUGAGCCACAACCCGAUGAAGAAGCCACAACUUUAUGGUGAGAUUCUCUCAUUUCAGAGACUUCCACAGCAUUUCUUAUAAUGUCACUGAUUUAGGAGCUUCAACUUUUGAUUGCAUGUCUUAUUUUAAUGAGAGGUUUGAACUGAAAGGAAGUUGAUUAGCUUAGUUUUGUUUAUAAGAUGUUUCAUGUCUUGCUUUGCUUUGAUUUGGAGUUAUGAGAGCUUACUCUUGCGCUCAACUCCCAAUCUCUUUAGCCUGCAUUCGAAUCUUGGAAAUUAUUGAAUCACUAAUGGCAAGUACCAUGAUAUUUUUAUAUCUUCUAA